GAGGAUAGUGGCAUGCAAGAGAAGAGUGCGGUGUUACAGUGGAGCUGAUCUGUGAUGACAUGCCAAGCAUCUGUUUCUGCCACAUGAAAAGGUUCCUCCGAGCGAGAGAAGCCAGCUCAAGGCCAUCUCCUGCCACCACACCCUCCUUGGGAACCAGGAUGUUGAUAAAAAGUAUUUCCCCCCCCCCACCACCUAUUGUUCUCACUUCUCUCCCAUGCUCACUGGCCAGCAGAGACACCAAACGAAUGUGCCAAAGCAGGCAGCGUCUCCCCCGGCACCCUGGUGUCCUGGAACGUGUUAUCUUGUAGGAAAUGGACAGGUCACAACCCCAAACCGAAAGCAGAGGACAGAUGGUCUGCGUGGGGUUAGGAAGUCCUGGAGAGGACCGAUAACUAAAGAUGCUGCCUCUUCCUGUCAGCGCACAUCCAGCUAUUUAAUUCGAGUAUGUUUUGGAGGCGACUGGUUCCGGGUGGCCAUCGGGGUCCCCUCGCCCUCCGUGCGGUCGCUCGGCUCCACGGCCCUGCAACGCUACUACCGGGCCAGCAAUCUGGAAAAGGGACCCGGCGAGUCGGAGUUCGGCAUGCGGAGGUGUCGAAGCGGCGAGCUUCUUGACCACGAUGACAGCGCGGCGGCCGUCCUCGACCACAAUGACUUUGUUCAAUUAGUGUUGGCAGAUGAAGAUGACAAGAUUAGCGCUUCUCUGUUGGCCACAACAGUGCACCCCUACCAGGAGCCCACUAAGUUGAUCUCUCUGGACGGCAACGGUCUGACCACGUCAGAUCUGGUGGCUUUGGGCCAGGGCUUGUACAAAAUAAAGUUAACCCCAGAGGCAGUCGACAGAGUUAAUAAAUCCAGAGCAGUGAUUGAAGGCUUUACAACGGAAGGCAAAGUUGUGUAUGGAGUCAACACUGGUUUUGGGAAAUUUGCGCACACACGCAUACCAGCUGAACAACUGGUGCAACUGCAAGAGAAUCUUGUUCGCUCGCACAGUGCCGGUGUGGGCCCCCCCUUGAGCGUGGAGAGGACGCGUAUGCUGCUGGCGCAGAGAAUCAACGUACUGGCCAAAGGCUACAGUGGCAUCUCCAUGGAAACCCUUGAUGCCAUGAUCAAGGCCUUCAAUGCAUCUUGCCUGUCCUGGGUCCCGGAGAAGGGCACGUUGGGGGCGAGCGGCGACUUGGCCCCCCUGGCCCACCUCGCCCUGGGCCUGAUGGGGGAGGGCAGAAUGUGGUCGCCACAGAGCGGCUGGGCCGACGCCGAGGCGGUACUAAAAGGAAAUGGUCUCAAACCUCUCGUGCUCAAGCCAAAAGAGGGCAUAGCUGCGAUCAAUGGCACUCAGCUGAUCUCAUCACUGGGGGCAGAGGCUGUGGAGCGAGCGUUGGGCGUGGCCAGACAAGCCGAUGUCGUCGCCGCCUUAAGUUUGGAGGCACUGAGAGGAAGCGCCAGACCCUUCCACCACGCUAUCCAUGCGGUGAGACCACAUCCUGGACAGAUAGAAGUGGCCGAGAGAAUCUGCGCUCUUUUGGAUUCUCCCAUUUUCCCCUCGCAGAUUUCAGAAAGUCACAGAUCCUGCAAUCGUGUCCAAGAUGCCUACACACUGCGCUGCAUCCCGCAGGUUCAUGGAAUUGUGAAUGACACCAUCAAGUUUGUCCGGAUGAUCAUUACAACUGAGAUGAACAGCGCCACUGACAACCCUCUGGUGUUUGCGGAGAGCGGAGAGACCUUAUCUUGUGGGAAUUUCCACGGAGAGUAUCCUGCGAAGGCGCUGGACUACCUGGCCAUAGGUGUGCACGAGCUGGCCAGUUUCAGCGAGAGGAGGAUCGAGAGGCUGGUGAACCCGGCCCUCAGCGAGCUGCCGGCCUUCCUGGUCAAAGACGGAGGCUUGAACUCGGGCUUCAUGAUCGCACACUGCACUGCCGCCGCUUUGGUGUCCGAGUCCAAGGCUCUAUGCCACCCGGCCUCCGUUGACUCCCUGUCCACCAGUGCCGCCACGGAGGACCACGUGUCCAUGGGCGGCUGGGCUGCCCGCAAAGCUCUCAGAGUCGUGGAGCAUGUGGAGCAAGUGCUGGCCAUCGAGCUGCUGGCUGCCUGUCAGGCUCUGGAGUUUCUGCGUCCCCUCAAGACCACCGCUCCUCUACAGAGGGUCUACCAACUUGUACGCUCUGUAGUCAGUGCCUGGGAUAAAGACCGCAUCAUGAGCCCUGAUAUAGAGGCUGCGCACACACUCCUCAGACAGCAAAAGGCAAGUGCGCCCCAAACAAAAUCGACAACUCAACAUUCAAAAUACAGAGUUUGUGUAUCCUUUGACUGCUUCCAGGUGUGGGCUGAGAUUCAACCAUACAUGGACGAGUACAGGAACAAGAUGCAGGCGUGAGACACGAGGGGGAAAUUACAACUUCAGUUUUAUUGGCCAUUUUUAUGCUAUAAAUAAAAAUACUGUAAAGUUUACACACAUCACAUAUGUUUUUUAUUCAAAUGAGUUACAGAACAUGUAAUAAGCACAUAAAUUGGAUGAAUUUACAAAAAAAAGAGCCAGUUUAUUCACAGAGAAGUGACAUUUUUUUGCUUCGGAUAGCCCGCUACUUUCCCAGAGGCUUUUAAAAAAAAAAAAAAAAAGCAAAAGCAAAGCAAACACGCUAUCGCACAUGCAACGAAAUGUUUUUUUAACACUAAAUACGUUGCGUGAAGACUAGCCUUUCAAAUACAAAACACCUUGCCCCGGCGGUUCGGUUGAAAUCCAAAACAUUUGGUACCAUACAACUUUUCUUAACGGCAUGGCGGAAAUUAAGCGGAACUAGAAACUACUUUCUACUCAACAGUUUGUCUGUACAUGAAGGGUGCUGCAGCAGACGGCAGCACGCAAGUCCUUCCUCCUGGAUGGCUUUUUGUCACCCGCGCCGGGUUGGGAGGUUCGUUUGGUGAGCGUGGGUCACUUGUUCACGCUGGAGGUGAGGCCUUGUCAAGAAAACUGGAUCUGCUGCACAGUGGGAAUCUGCACGACAGAAUACGAGUGGGCAACGUAUUAUGGAAAGUUGACUUUUGAACUGUUUGUAGACAAACUGGUUUCUCCGCCCAUGACUUGGAAGCUAGGCUGGGAAAACACCCAGCACCACCUUCAAGCCAGAGUCAGACUACACUGUCAAAGCCGAAAUCAACGAUCAAGUAACCUUAUUUUUUUGCCCUUUUCUGAAAAUCUGCGAGUGAGUCAUUCAGAAUUUUGCUUGGCUAAGUCACAUAAUAAGCACCUCUCUACCGCAGGUAUCUCUGCCCAUGAUCUGGAGCGAGGUGACGACCUGGUAUGAAGUGCCUCUAGGAGUGACACUGCUUUAUUUAUUUUAAAGGGUGCUCACUUUUUUUCCUCCUCACACUCUGGGCUUAACGUCAAUUCACUUGCUUCAUCAGAACCCCUAUAGAGUACCACCCCCUCAAGUUCCAGGUUAAAUAAAAUCAUUAAAUAUUUACCUACGAUUAAAUAAUCGUAGGUAAAUAAAUUGUGCUUUUAUUCUUGAUCCUUGAGGUAUUUUGACAAAAUCACAUCAGAGAAGUAAUUAAGACCCCUGGGAACUAUUUUAAAUACGGAAACCAUAAUGAAUACAUCUCCCUUAAGAAUGUCUGCCUACCUGUUGAUAUGAGGUGGUGUACACCAUGACGUUUUGCUGCUGGCCGUCGGCCGUUAUAAUUCCCGCUGGCAGAGGGUUUGCUGCAAAGGGCAGAAAAUGAUUGACUGGUAAAUAUAAUAUGCUUUUAAAAAGAAUGGGAGGGAUGACAAAAGUGAAUUUGUCGUACCAAAAAAAAAAAAAAAAAAAAAAAAAGUGCAUAAAAGUCAACUUACCGAAGCCGUCGUCCGUGAGCUCCUCUCCCAGGCUUUCACCCACGGACACGCCGGGCAUGCCUUUCUCCCCUUUCAUUGCCUGGUGAGUGGAAAUAUAGCUUAUUUAAUUUUACAUCUUGUAAUGCUGCCGUAAGUGGUCAAGGGCAGACACAGCCGCCUGCACCUCACACGUGUACUUGUUUCUCCAAAAUCAAUUUUUAUCCAGUUACUCUAUAUCCGAUUCUAAAAAUAUUCAAUAAGUACAGCCCUACGAAUUAUUCAAUUGAUAAAAAAUUCAUUACAUCUCACCUCUCUGAACUUCUGCAAGUAGAGCUUGAGUGGCUCCACGUACAUGUCGAAGCCCAGCGUGGACAUGGCGAACAGGAUGUCCUCGCCGUUGAUGGUCUUGCGCUUCUCCUGGUGGCAGCGCUCGCUGGCCUCGCUCGUGAUGAAGCUGAUGAACUCGCUCACGCACUCCUGCACGCACUCCUUGGCGUCCUUGGCGAUCUGCGGCAAGUAGAAGGAUUGUCGAGAUACGUUCUAUAAAUGUACAGUGACGAAAGCGUUUCCCGGCUUUGGAACAAACCUUUCCAGUUUGAGGGACGGCGUUCUUCAUGAUGCGAGCCACGUUGGCGAUGGGGAGAUAGAUGUCCUGCUCCCUGUAGUUCUCCUUCACGCCACCGUCGUCGUUCAAACCUUCGUCAGCGUCAUCUAUGAGAAAAGAAAAAAGGUUGAAAUAUUUUUGGGGGUCCUCUCGGGCUUCACAUAGCCAACAGUUGUCAUGAAUUAUCAUAUUGUUAGCUUGAUAGCAUAA